rnacentral:rRNA from 1 species
AUUGAACGCUGGCGGCAGGCCUAACACAUGCAAGUCGAGCGAGCGGCGGACGGGUGAGUAAUGUCUGGGAAACUGCCUGAUGGAGGGGGAUAACUACUGGAAACGGUAGCUAAGACCGCAUACCAUCAGAUGUGAACAGAUGGGAUUAGCUAGUAGGUGGGGUAAAGGCUCACCUAGGGGACGUUCCCUAGCUGGUCUGAGAGGAUGACCAGCCACACUGGAACUGAGACACGGUCCAGACUCCUACGGGAGGCAGCAGUGGGGAAUAUUGCACAAUGGGCGCAAGCCUGAUGCAGCCAUGCCGCGUGUGUGAAGAAGGCCUUCGGGUUGUAAAGCACUUUCAGCGGGGAGGCGUUACCCGCAGAAGAAGCACCUCCUCCCUCCGUUCCAGCAGCCGCGGUAAUUC